CGCAGCACAAGUGGUGGUCAUUAUUAUUGGGCCUAAAGCGUCCGUAGCUGGCUUGUUAGAUGCCUGGGUAAAUCGAUGCGCUCAACGCAUCGAACUCCGGGUAGACCGGCAAGCUUGGGACCGGGAGAGGCGUGAGCUACUCGAGGGGUAGGGGUAAAAUCCUGUAAUCCUUCGGGGAGGACCAGUGGCGAAGGCGUCACGCUAGAACGGCUCCGACAGUGAGGGACGAAGCCCUGGGGCGCAAACC
rnacentral:rRNA from 1 species